AUGGAUCCUGCAGACGACUGGCUGGUGGACUCCUUGCGCUUGUACCAGGAUUUCUAUGCAUUCGACCUCUCAGGAGCGACUCGAGUCCUUGAAUGGAUUGAUGACAAAGGAGUCUUUGUUGCUGGCUAUGAAAGCCUGAAAAAGAAUGAAAUUCUUCAUCUGAAAUUACCUCUCAGACUUUCUGUAAACGAAAACAAGGGCUUAUUCCCAGAAAGAGAUUUCAAAGUGCGCCAUGGAGGAUUUUCAGACAGGUCUAUCUUUGAUCUAAAGCACGUGCCACAUACCAGAUUGUUGGUUACCAGUGGCCUUCCAGGUUGUUACCUGCAGGUGUGGCAGGUUGCAGAGGACAGUGAUGUCAUUAAAGCUGUCAGCACCAUUACUGUGCACGAGAAAGAGGAGAGUCUCUGGCCUAGGGUGGCCGUCUUCUCCGCAGUGGCACCCAGAGUCCUCCAUGGGGCGAGGCUCCGCAGUCUGCAGGUCGUUGAUCUGGAGUCCCGGAAGACCACGUACACCUCAGGUACCGUGGUACUUUGCCCCUUGCUCACUGCUCCAGCCGGCAUCACCCCCCAGCCCAACUCAGCCACUAUAGAAACUGAGUUCAACCCUCUGUGCCAGGUGUUGGGGAUACACGGUGAAUAAGAGGUGAGCCCUGGCCUCUAAGGGCUCCUAUGCUGGGGCAGGAUUAGGCAGUCCCAGGGACCAGCACCCAACCAGCUGAGCAGAUAAUGAUGAGAUGAGUGGGAAGGGAGAUGUGAUUUAUUCUGCCUGGGACUGGUGGGAAGGGACCUGUGACCAGCCAGCCCUGCCAAAUUGCCAGACCCAUCUGCCUCCAGCCGCUUGUCUCCUUUGCUCUCGGUCUUCCAGAUGUCAGUGACAGUGAGGAGCUGAGUAGCCUGCAGGUCCUAGAUGCAGACACCUUUGCCUUCUGCUGUGCUUCAGGCCAGCUGGGGCUUGUUGACACCCGCCAGAAGUGGGCACCGUUGGAGAAUCGCAGCCCUGGCCCUGGG
rnacentral:sRNA from 1 species